GAUGAACGCUGGCGGCGUGCCUAAUACAUGCAAGUCGAGCGAACAGACGAGGAGCUUGCUCCUCUGACGUUAGCGGCGGACGGGUGAGUAACACGUGGAUAACCUACCUAUAAGACUGGGAUAACUUCGGGAAACCGGAGCUAAUACCGGAUAAUAUAUUGAACCGCAUGGUUCAAUAGUGAAAGACGGUUUUGCUGUCACUUAUAGAUGGAUCCGCGCCGCAUUAGCUAGUUGGUAAGGUAAUGGCUUACCAAGGCGACGAUGCGUAGCCGACCUGAGAGGGUGAUCGGCCACACUGGAACUGAGACACGGUCCAGACUCCUACGGGAGGCAGCAGUAGGGAAUCUUCCGCAAUGGGCGAAAGCCUGACGGAGCAACGCCGCGUGAGUGAUGAAGGUCUUCGGAUCGUAAAACUCUGUUAUUAGGGAAGAACAAAUGUGUAAGUAACUAUGCACGUCUUGACGGUACCUAAUCAGAAAGCCACGGCUAACUACGUG
rnacentral:rRNA from 1 species